rfam:Picea glauca, whole genome shotgun sequence.
GGUUCUAUGGUGUAGUGGUUAGCACUUUAGACUUUGAAUCUAGUGGUGUGAGCUCAAAUCUCAUUGUGCCCU